UGCAAUAUUAAGUUUAACUUGCGACGUUCACCAAGUAGCUUGAGCUUCUUCUCGUUUCAAGAAAAUGGCACUCAAAGUAUUCGAUAUUGUAAUUUUUACAAUACUGAUUUUUUUUCUAAUUUUGCAGCCUGCUGAAGCGGAAAAUUUUUUUAAAAAAGCUGUGAGAAAAAUUGGCGACUGGUUCAAGGGGGUAUACAAAGAUGCUAAACACUAUUUUGGAUAACAAACCAAGUUGCACGAAGCCGAAAUGGAAUGUGAACCCAUAGAUAUAUCAAAUAAGCUAUGUGUAUUCACAAUGGUGUAAUAAGUUGUUUUAUUCAUUUGGUUAUAAAAAAUUCAAUGCAAUUGUGGUAAAAGUAUUUUUAAUUGGAAUUAAAACGUCCCUGAAAGAACAGCAUUAAA